CGGCGUGCUUAACACAUGCAAGUCGAACGGUAAGGCCCUUCGGGGUACACGAGUGGCGAACGGGUGAGUAACGCGUGAGUAACCUGCCCUUGACUCUGGGAUAACAGAUGGAAACGUCUGCUAAUACCGGAUACUCAGCCUUGUGGGCAUCCACAGGGUUGGAAAGCUCCGGCGGUCAAGGAUGGACUCGCGUCCUAUCAGCUAGUUGGUGGGGUAAUGGCCUACCAAGGCGACGACGGGUAGCCGGCCUGAGAGGGCGACCGGCCACAUUGGGACUGAGAUACGGCCCAGACUCCUACGGGAGGCAGCAGUGGGAAUAUUGCACAAUGGGCGCAAGCCUGAUGCAGCAACGCCGCGUGCGGGAUGACGGCCUUCGGGUUGUAAACCGCUUUCAGCAGGGACGAAGCGCAAGUGACGGUACCUGCAGAAGAAGCACCGGCUAACUACGUGCCAGCAGCCGCGGUGAUACGUAGGGUGCGAGCGUUGUCCGGAUUUAUUGGGCGUAAAGAGCUUGUAGGCGG
rnacentral:rRNA from 1 species